GGCUGCUGGCAGGGAGUUAGCCGGUGCUUCUUCUGCGAGUAACGUCAAUCAGCGAGGUUAUUAACCUUACUGCCUUCCUCCUCGCUGAAAGUGCUUUACGACCCGAAGGCCUUCUUCACACACGCGGCAUGGCUGCAUUCAGUUGCGCCCAUUGUGCAGUAUUCCCUACUGCUGCCUCCCGUAGGAG
rnacentral:rRNA from 1 species